AUGAAACGUGAGGUAAGAGGAACUGUAGUGUCUCAUUCAGAAACCCCAGCCAUUUUGCAGCUGAGAGAAGACCUCCAGCAACAUUUUAAUCCUGCAUUUUUCACAAGGACUACAAGGCCUUCUAGUUAACCUGAUAUUUAAAGUUUAUUUUCAGAUGCUGCCUUGAUAACAGCCAUCACCAGUGAGCUUCUUGGAGCAGGAAUGAGACGGUGACAAUUUGCAUGACUCAGUUUCCCUGCCUGAGGGAAAUACCAUUAUUGCAUAUUUAUGAAGGAACUGGGUAGUCUCCCAUGACGUAGCAUGCAAGAGCCCUUGGUAGACAUAGUCAUGCCUUUUGCAGUCCUAUGACUGCUGGAAUCCAAUGCGAACAUCCAUCACCAGGAGAUGCAGUUGGUACUUUGGGCGGUGGAAAAAGCGCCUUCCAGUACAGGGGAACAUCUCCAGCUCUGUUCAGUUCUGUGGUCUCACUCUACCCUGUGAGCUGCAAGGAGGGCACAGAUGAGCAGUUGGUGCCAGAGCGCAUGCACCCUGUUCUUGUCACCCUGUUACUGUCACCCAGUUCUUGUCACCCCAUUCUGGCCAACAAACUGAGUGGGGCCAGCCUAAAAUCAUGCUGAGGAGGGAAGGAGGAAAAUGAGCUUACGUCUGACUGCCACAUCAGCAAACCCCUGGGACGAGUGUUGUGUACAGGUUUGUUACUGGUAUUUGCUGUGUAGAUACUGAGGAAUGUCACAGCAAGGACACCAGCUGAUCCAGGACAGAAGACCAGUGGAAAUGAGGACUGCAGAGUGAGAACAGUCCCUGCCUUAAACAGCUUUUGGAAUUCAUCCCCUGCCAGAGGCAUUCAGUGACAUCUUGGCCACCAGUACUUCUGCAUGGGAAAGGUACUUCAUGGGAAGGCAUUAAACAAACCCAGCCAAAAAGAAAAAUACAACUUCUUUGGAAUUCAGAUGUUCCUUUGUCUCAAAGUAGAGUAGAUGUGUUGUUACACAGUUGCCUGUGUUCAGUAAACGUGGUGACUAAGAUCUCACUUCGUCAGUAACACCCUUGCCAGAAAGCUGAAAUCACGGGAACCUCAAGCCAUCAGAAGUCCUUGCACAAAAAGACCAUCAACAAGGAGAGGAAGGGACUGCAAACAUGACUUGGACAAGGUGGUUUGUGCCCCCUCAGCACAUUGCCUACAUGUUCGCAGCUUUGCACACAAACUGCAAUUCUAGCGAAAUCUCACACUUUGGAUGUUUGAUGGCAGCCCCAGGAGAGAGUGGUAGACAAUGCUAUCAGCAUUACCGUCAUUUUGACUGGAAGGUAAGAAGUUGACUUGCUAGGUCAUGGCUGUAGAAUGACAUCACAAGACAGGUGAGCUGAAUGCAUAGGGUCUGUGCAUGUGCUUGGACUGAACCAAUGGCCCUAGCCCAGCAGUCUGUUUCAGGGUGCUGCCUAACUUUCAG
rnacentral:lncRNA from 1 species